UGCCAGUGGCCCCGUGCAGACCUGCGGGGCCCUGACAGACGAGGACAUCGUCAGGCUGCGGCCCUGUGAGAAGAGGCGGGUACGUGUCACAGGUUCCUUGCUGAGGACGCUAGCAGUGCGGGGGGCAGAGAGAGCUGGACACACA
ensembl:miRNA